ACAGAGAAAUGAAAAUGCUUCUUCAAGUUCUAUAGCCACUGAAGUGUUGAACCAGAGUAUAUGAGAAUAUUCACAAGUUUCAGGCACUCAGUUGUAAACAUCUUUGAUGGACCACAUUCUGCGCACCAUAGAUGAGAACAAGUUUUUUAGUAAAAUAAUUACCAGAGACACUAAGUGGAGAACAGCAUUUCUAAAUGCCUGUUUAAAAGAAGAAAAAGAAGAAAGAAAGAAAAAACCAGGAUUCCUUCUGAAAAGAAAAAAAAGAGGUCAUAAAAUAUGACCCAUUUGAUAUCAGAGAAGGCAAUUACCUGAGAAGGUAGGAUGGUCCAGUGGUCUUGGUAACAUCGGAGAAAGUCCAAAGCUACUGCAUCUUUUCCCUGUUCUGAUGUCUUGCUGUGUGACCCAGGGCAAGUCACUUGACCUUAGUUUCCUCAUCUGAAAAAAACAAGACCCCAGGAGUUGUGCUUGAUUACCUGACUAAUAUCAAGCUACAGGAAUUAAAUGAAGAAUGGAAUUUCAUUUUGGGCUUCAUCACUGCUGCAGCGAUGACAGAUGGGAAUUGUAUGAAUUGCUUUAGCCCCUGCGCUUCAUUAACUGACAGAAGAAAGUCUGAAUGAUAUGGAUGGUAAAUUAAACUUUGAAAAUCUUUUAAGAAAUCUUAAUUUGGAUAUUAUACAGUUAGU